CCUGAAUCCAGGGCUGGUGCUUUAUCCACUGUGCCACCUAGCUGCCCCCUAUUGCUGCUUAAUUCACUUGGCAUCAGUUCAUAGAAGGUUUUCCAGGUUUCAUGGAAACUGACCCUCUCAUCAUUUCUUAUGGAAUUUUGCAGCUGUAUGGAGGAUGGAUUGGAGAAGGGAGAAACUGGAAACAGAAACCCAGCAUUCUUUGCGGAGGAGUGAUUUGUGAGGUUGAUCUGCU